UACAACUGCCAGACUCCUUUGCUUGCUACAUAAAGCCAUCUAUAAUAGUUCCAGAUUUUUCCACAGAUGGCCAUAAAACUGUACAGACCAUGGUUAUUUCUGCACAUGAUGAAUUGAGAAUCUCCACAGAGCACUUUGGAUAGAGAGAGUAAUUUGUAUGCCUCGGUGAAACCAGCACACACA
rnacentral:lncRNA from 1 species